rnacentral:rRNA from 1 species
CCUACGGGCGGCAGCAGUGGGGAAUAUUGCGCAAUGGGCGAAAGCCUGACGCAGCGACGCCGCGUGAGGGAUGAAGGCCUUCGGAUCGUAAACCUCUGUCAGCAGGGAAGAACGGUCACUGUCGUAAUCAGCAGUGAAUUGACGGUACCUGCAAAGGAAGCACCGGCUAACUCCGUGCCAGCAGCUGCGGUAAUACGGAGGGUGCGAGCGUUAAUCGGAUUUACUGGGCGUAAGGCGAUCGUAGGCGGUAUGUCAAGUCAAGGGUGAAAGCCCCGCGCUCAACGUGUGAACUGCCUUUGAAACUGGCAAACUGGAGUGUGUGAGAGGGUAGUGGAAUUCCAGGUGUAGGAGUGAAAUCCGUAGAUAUCUGGAGGAACAUCAGUGGCGAAGGCGACUAUCUGGCACAUAACUGACGCUGAGGAGCGAAAGCGUGGGUAGCAAACAGGAUUAGAUACCCGAGUAGUC